CAGCAGCCGCGGUAAUACGUAGGGUCCGAGCGUUGUCCGGAAUUAUUGGGCGUAAAGGGCUCGUAGGCGGUUUGUUGCGUCGGGAGUGAAAACCCAGGGCUUAACUUUGGGCUUGCUUUCGAUACGGGCAGACUUGAGGCAUUGAGGGGAGAACGGAAUUCCUGGUGUAGCGGUGAAAUGCGCAGAUAUCAGGAGGAACACCGGUGGCGAAGGCGGUUCUCUGGCAAUGUUCUGACGCUGAGGAGCGAAAGUGUGGGGAGCGAACAGGAUUAGAUACCCCGGUAGUCCCUGUCUCUUAUAC
rnacentral:rRNA from 1 species